GCCCCUAUAGCUUAACCUAAAGCAUAGCACUGAAGAUGCUAAGACGGUAUCUUUAUUACCUAAGGGCA
rnacentral:tRNA from 1 species